rnacentral:rRNA from 1 species
GUGAGGAAUUUUCCGCAAUGGGCGAAAGCCUGACGGAGCAAUGCCGCGUGGAGGAUGAAAGCCUAUGGGUUGUAAACUCCUUUUCUCAGAGAAGAAAUUUUGACGGUAUCUGAGGAAUAAGCAUCGGCUAACUCCGUGCCAGCAGCCGCGGUAAUACGGGGGAUGCAAGUGUUAUCCGGAAUAAUUGGGCGUAAAGCGUCUGUAGGUGGUUUACCAAGUCUGUUGUUAAAAAUCAGGGCUCAACCCUGAUCCGGCAACAGAAACUAGUAGGCUUGAGUACGGUAGGGGCAGAGGGAAUUCUCGGUGUAGUGGUGAAAUACGUAGAUAUCGAGAAGAACACCAAUAGCGAAAGCACUCUGCUGGGCCGAAACUGACAUUGAGAGACGAAAGCUAGGGGAGCAAAAGGGAUUAGAUACCCCUGUAGUCCUAGCUGUAAACGAUGGAUACUAAGUGCUGUGCGACUCAAAACGUCCAGUGCUGUAGCUAACGCGUGAAGUAUCCCGCCUGGGGAGUAUGCUCGCAAGAG